rnacentral:rRNA from 1 species
AUUGAACGCUGGCGGCAGGCCUAACACAUGCAAGUCGAGCGGAUGAAGGGAGCUUGCUCCUGGAUUCAGCGGCGGACGGGUGAGUAAUGCCUAGGAAUCUGCCUGGUAGUGGGGGAUAACGUCCGGAAACGGGCGCUAAUACCGCAUACGUCCUGAGGGAGAAAGUGGGGGAUCUUCGGACCUCACGCUAUCAGAUGAGCCUAGGUCGGAUUAGCUAAUUGGUGGGGUAAAGGCCUACCAAGGCGACGAUCCGUAACUGGUCUGAGAGGAUGAUCAGUCACACUGGAACUGAGACACGGUCCAGACUCCUACGGGAGGCAGCAGUGGGGAAUAUUGGACAAUGGGCGAAAGCCUGAUCCAGCCAUGCCGCGUGUGUGAAGAAGGUCUUCGGAUUGUAAAGCGCUUUAAGUUGGGAGGAAGGGCAGUAAGUUAAUACCUUGCUGUUUUGACGUUACCAACAGAAUAAGCACCGGCUAACUUCGUG